AUGGACCAAUGACGACCCUUCUAGCUAGACCAAUUUCUUACCGUUGAUAGUCUCUGACCAAUUUUAUUAACAAUAGCAAUAGCCAGAUUGAUGGGAUUUUCUUCUUCUUCUUCUUCUUUUCGAGGAAUUGAAUUCAAUCCAGCUGAUCAGCAACUUCCAAAACCAUCAAACUGUAUCGGAGAAGUACAAAUAACUCUCAGUUAGGACAAUUCAAGGGAAGUACGAUGAUCAACAAUUUCUGCUCUAUUACCAUCCACGGCCUGUUGAAAACAGGCUCUAACAGGUAUUUUCUUUUUACAAGCAAUGGAUAUGCUCAAAACAAUCCAUGUCAAAUCACACUAGCACUUGAUGAACACGAAAUCUACCAUAUUUAUUUUUUAAUAGAGCAAGAAUUAGAUAUGCACAAGCUAUGCAAGAGCAGUACUUUGAUUUAUAUUAUAUUUAGUUGGGGUAAUGAUUAUUUUUUGAAGUAUUUUUUAUUUAAAAUAUAUUAAAAUAAUAUUUUUAAAAUUUAUUUUAAACAUUAACAUAUCAAAAUAAUUUUAAAUUAUAUAAAAAUAAUAUUUUUAAAUAAAAAAAUAUUUUUUUAUGAAACACCGUUUAGAGCACGUUCCCUCCCAAACAACGUAUUAGUUUAAAAUUUAUUUGGAUAGUGGUAGUGGUUGUUUUUUAAAGUAUUUUUCACUAAAAAAUAUAUCAAGAUAAUAUUUUUUAAAAAAUUUAUUUUUGAUAUCUUCUAUAUGAAUACAUCAAAAUAAUAUAAAAAAUUAAUUUUAAAUAAAAAAAAAUAUUCCUUUGCGUUAAACGCCCGUUUGGGUGGCUUACCAAACUGACCAAACUUAGCCAUUUUUUCAAAGUAUAAGCUUUCGGUGUCUAACACAAGCCAACUAUUUUCAUUCUGUUUGAAUCUAAUGUUGAUCCUUCGUGGAUAAAAAUCAUUCUAAGAUUCUGGAUAUGGAGGAGCAACUGAGUCAGUGAGGAAUGAUUUCAAGUGCUUAGCAAACUCGUUGGCCUUUUCUAAAGUAACUGCGUGUCCCGCAUUCUUGAUUAAUCAUCACUAACUGAGAAGUUUCUCCCACAUGCGUACAAAGAAUGUAAGCUGUCAGGGAAUAGUUACUACAGACAAAAUACACUCAAAUUUUCAGAGCAUCAGAAGCCAGAAUCAACAGAGGAUUUCAAGUUGACCUUUUCAAUCUGUGCCCCAAUUCCAGUGGGAAAAUUUGAUCUUGCUCUCACCAUGUCGUUAAUGUUGGCUGCUUUUCCAAAAAAAAAAAAAACAUUAAGACCAGGAGUACUCUAUCAUGAACUGACUGCUUUUUCAAAGAUUCCUUAGCACCAAUGCCUCCUACGAUGUCAAAGUCUCAUAGGCUAAAAGAAUGGCACGAAAUAAACGAUUUGAACUAGAUGUGCCAAGAACAGUAAGGAACCUGUGUGAUCUUUGGUAGAUCAGAAAGAUUUCGAUCUUGAAGUAUAGCCUGGAUCAAUUCCCUCUUCUCCUUGACAUAAUCUGUGCACAUAACCUGUCAGAACAGAAACAUUACAGAGAGAAUAUCUGGGACUUUUUUUGUGUCUAUAUUCAGCCUAGCCUGAGAAAAAUUCCAUGAACUUCAAUCAUCCACAGAAGGUCAACAAUAUGGAAUUCCAGUAAAUGUUAGAAAUUAACUCUUACAUUGAUGAGAUCUGUGAGAAAGAACGAGGGCACGCCCUUGGCAGGUUUGACAAACGAUAAUUAACCGCAUCAACUCCCUCAAUUUUUAUGGUGUCUGUGGCAACAAUAUGGUGGCUGCUUCAUCUAAAUUCGAAACCACAAACAAACCAUUGUUCGUAUCCUUUUCUUCCAAGCUAACCCCAGCACAGCACAGCACAGCACAACUCUUUCUAUUUUUUCUUGAAAUUGUGCAGCCAUACUAUACCCCACAAACCUUCCAUAGCUGAUCCCAACAAGAUUCAUUCUAUGCACACCAUGUGCCUCCAUUAGCCUCAUAACGCAUUGAGCCUGGAAAGAUCCGUUCUUUCAGGCCUAGAUGUGUAGGACUCACCGAAGAAAAGAAGGUCCGGAACAUAGACAUUGAAACGUGAUGUGAACAUCUGGAGAUGCUUACCAUAUUGCCGCAUUGCAUUGGCUCCAAAGCCAUGGAGAAGCAGAUCGACUGUGUUUUGAUGGUUUGCUGAUUCUUGGUACCCAACAAUGAAUAAUUGUGCCAUCUCCAAGAUUAGAUGAGAGGGAACGAAGACCAGCGUUGGCAAAUGAGUAGCGGUAGAACCAAUCCCGGUAUGCAGUAAAGCUCAAACAUCUGGCCAUCUUGAGAAAUAGUGAUUCUCAGAUAUAUACACACAUAAAUCAGAAUUCAUGGUUCUUGAAUUCCUGACCUUUUGUUAUAGAAAUGUACGGAGAUGUUACUAUAUCAUUGCGGAAAUUCAAGAUUAAUCUACAGAAACUACCCUUUGAUUUCAGAAACAGUAUCGAGAUCCGUUAUACUUUGUUUGAAUGGCCAAGUGGAAUAAUGACAGCAUAAAAAAGAAGCAUAGAGCGCAAACACAGAUAGAAUAGAUAAAAGGACUUUCUGUCUUCCCUAAGAAAGAUUCGGAGCUUUUUUCUUUUUUUCUUUUGGUUAUUAGUAAAUUCCAUCUCACCAUUACAUUGGUUUUAUCAAAUUCUUCAACAGUUUAUUUUAUAUAAGUUUAUUCGCUAACGUUUCAUGCAUUUACCAAUAAUGUAGAAAAUACAUUUUUAUUUUGUGAACUUUAAUGUGCUCUGAAGAAUUAUAGAUAAUUCAUCCAUUAUAUUCAUAAAUAGUUUUUUUUCAUAUUUUUUUUUAAAUAUAGACAAUUCAUUCGCUCCCUCUUGCCAAUGACACAGCUCUAUAUCCAGGGGCGGAACCAGAAAGAGACAAGCAGGGACCAGCCCUGUAAAAUAUUUUAAUUUUUUUAUUUAGUAUUUAAAUAUAAAAUAGUAUGAUUUUUUUAUUUUAAAUAAAUAAACUUUUUAAUAAUAUAUCUUGUUAUAUUAAUUUUAACAUUUUCUAUAAAAUGCUACCAGCUCCGUCCAUGCCUAAAUCUUCGUAAUUGUUGUUUGAAAUUGACUUGAUCAAAUCUUUUUUUUAAAUGUUUUUUAUGUGAAUUUU
rnacentral:lncRNA from 1 species